GAUCAUGGCUCAGAUUGAACGCUGGCGGCAGGCUUAACACAUGCAAGUCGAACGGUGACAUAAAGGAGCUUGCUUCUUUGAUGACGAGUGGCGGACGGGUGAGUAAUGCUUGGGAAUCUAGCUUAUGGAGGGGGAUAACUACGGGAAACUGUAGCUAAUACCGCGUAGAAUCGAGAGAUGAAAGUGUGGGACCUUCGGGCCACAUGCCAUAGGAUGAGCCCAAGUGGGAUUAGG
rnacentral:rRNA from 1 species